rnacentral:sRNA from 2 species
UUGCUGCAUAUCUGUAUGAUAUAUGGUGAAGAGGAGUGAGGGGAAAGCGUUCUGAUGGGGAGAUCUUGGCCCCUUUACUUCAAGCCUGCCAUACAAGUGGGGUUAUUGAAGGUCGAGAGGUGAGUGUAUUCUCCCAGUUAUCGACAGGACUCAUUCCUUGCCGCUUAUAUUCAGUGCCGGGCCGUAUAUAUUGGCAAUCCCCAACACAAUCAUGGUGCCUUUUUGUGGCAAAAAAGUAGAUGGCCUAGUACUCUGUUCAUGCCCGAGAGGCCAGCACAUCUACAUGACAGGAUAGAGGAGAUGAUCUCAUUCUUGACCUUAUUGCCUGUUGAGGAACAAUAGCUCGUACCCAGUACUAGUCCUCGUAGAUAAAUCCUUCGGCCGGCGGAGCUGUCGAAAUAAAACAGUCUUAGGGAUAAGUCCCAAGGGCUGAAUCUAUUCACUUGCUGUUCGUUCUCAUUGUUCCAGAGCGUAACAAGUGCUCAACUAGAUACUCUCAAUGAACGGAAAUUACCUAUUUAGGAAAAUCAAUGGGGC